CCCCGGGCUUAACCUGGGAACUGCAUUUGAUACUGGUAGGCUUGAGUGUGGCAGAGGGGGGUGGAAUUCCCCGUGUAGCGGUGAAAUGCGUAGAUAUGUGGAGGAACACCGAUGGCGAAGGCAGCCCCCUGGGCCUUCACUGACGCUCAUGCACGAAAGCGUGGGGAGCAAACAGGAUUAGAUACCCUGGUAGUCCACGCCCUAAACGAUG
rnacentral:rRNA from 1 species